GCAUUGUCAUAAGCUGGGUUUUAUUUCAAACUCAAUUAUACAAUGUAGCAAUAGUAAAUAUUAAAAUGUAAUGCUAACUCAAAACUUGUAGAAUGCCUUCACUGAAUUUUGGUAUAAAGAGUAAACAAAACUUAUUCUGCAAAAGGAUUAGGAACCUUUUUAUGCAAAAAUGAGUAUUUUAUUUUGUCAACACUAAAAGAAAAAAAAAACAAAACCACUGUAUUUCUACAUUGAGGUGAAAACAAUGUUUAAACUUUCUUAUCAAUCAAAUACAUUCCAAAGGAAAGUGUGUUCUAUGAAGGUUCCAAAACACACUCAAAACACAAUAGUACAGGAAUCUAAUACUGAAAAUGACUGUUCUGACAGGGUGCUUAACAAACAUAACUUUUAAAUUAUUAAACCAGUGAAGCAAUCCCUUCCUAAUAAGUGUGUCAAGAGAGUGAAACUGGGUUUGUUCCAUUAAUACCCUAACAAUUUCAUCGUAAUACUUUUUACUGUUAUGACAGUUUUAAAUAAAUUUUGCUGUACUUAAAAUAGGUUUUGAAAGUGGAAAAGUGUACAAAGUUUCAGAUAAAAAGAUUAAUAGAUGCAAUUUAAAUAAAAUUUCCCCUCUUCUCUCAUAUCAACAAUAAUCAAUUUUAGCAGAUAACAGAUUGAGCUUUAAAACCCUACUCCCAAAAUGAAACCUUCAGUUUUAAAUCUUAAUCAGACAUAACUGGAAAAGAUUACUAUGUAUUUGGCCACCUUUUACAAGAUUUUGUUUUUGUAUUAAAGCAGAAACCAGUUCCUAAACUCUUUUAUUCAAUUGUAUGUCCUGUUUGGACAAAUAUCAAAAAUAGAAGACUGUCACUUUUGCUUUUGUAACUGUGAUUUUCACUGCAGUCUUCUAUAACUUUUACAGAGUUCAUGGUCCCUAAUAUCUCCCCACCCUCCAUUUUUUCUAGGUGGGGAAAUGGCUACCACAGUAAACUUCUCACUGAUAGUUAGAGUUUCUGGAAACAUGUAUUGUUUGUUAUUAUUUAAGAGUGACUCAAUUUGGGCACUCUGAGUGGAUGGUCUACAGGUUUUCUUGUGAUGCAUACCACAGUCUCCAGCAUGAAAAAUCCUAGGAACUUGAGGAACCAGCACUUUCCAGAAUUUUGGAAGACAAGAUACAGUCAAGUAUUGAAGAGUCCAGUCCCAGUUAUAAUCAUCAUAAGUACAGAAAGUGUCUGUGCACUCGAUCAGCUUCUGAUAGGCAUUCCGGGUCAAGGCUAGACCCAUAUUGUGCUCUGUGGAUUUCCAAGUUUUCACAUCUACCUUGUCAGCCAUGCCAUAGAAACUGCGACUGGCACUAUAGGUCCCCAGGGAGAGAACAUCACAUUCAGGGCACUCUUGCUGCUUCAGUUUCCACAUCUUUUUGAAGACAUGGUAAAAGUCUGGGGCUAAGUAGUGAUCCUCUUCUAGGAAAAGUACAAGGCCAGCAUAAUCUCGAAGAAUUUUCACUCUUUCCCACACAAAAUGCAGCUUCCACCACCAGUGAUGUUUGGUCUGGGAGAAUUUGGCCUCUCUAUAAUGGCCGAAGGAGUCGGGAUACUCAGCAUUGAUGCACCCCAAUUUCAAAGCGGCAUUCUUCGGCAGGUCUCUGGGACAAUCUCUAGGGUCACUACCUGGAAACUCGUUAGGGUACAACUGAAUGCUGAAAGGAAAGAACACCUGCAGAACCGGACAGAAAUUCACUCCGGCGAUCAGCUGAUUGAUCUCGGUCGACCAGAAGUCAUGGCUAAAGAUGACGAGGACGUUGUCAAUUCCCUGGGCUUUUCGAAGUGAGUCCAGCAGCAGUCUGAGGUAUUCGGGCCGGUUAUGCACCUGGACCACCAGCACCAGCUCCCGGGGGGCCCAGGUGCCAGCCUUAUCUACAUUCCUCAGCGUCUGAUCAAAGUUCAGCUGGUACACCAGGGACCGGUACCGCAGCGUCAGGUUGUCCGCCUCGGGCUGGGGGACCGCCGGGACCAGGGGAGCCGCCGACACGUUGGAGACCCUGCGGAUGCCCACAGCCACAGAGGGGUGGUCCCCGCCGCGGCCGCCGGCACCCCGCGCGGGUUCGGCGUCCAGCAACGGUGGGGCGAGGGCCUCGUUCUUCCUUUGUCGCCCAUUGCUGCUCCAGAGGACGAAGCCGCAGGCGGCCACCACGAGCGUCAGGAUUAGCACCUUCCGUUUGUAGAUGCGGAACCUCAUGGUCUCCAGGGCCGGGAGCGCAGCUACAGCUCGAGUAUCGGCGCCGCCGCUAGGAGCCGCGGCUCGGCUUCGUCUCCGUCCUCUCCAUUCAGCACCAAGGGUCCCGGAAGAAGCUCAGCCGCGGUCCCAACCGCACCCUAGCUUCGUUACCUGCGCCUCCAGCGGCCCUGCGUCCUCUGCGCUCUCAUCCUUACAGGGGCCCUAGACGGCCAGAACUGAGCGACGCAGCCUCGCCUCACUCCGGCGGGGACCGUUAU
rnacentral:antisense_RNA from 1 species